UACGUGAGGGUGCAAGCGUUAAUCGGAAUUAGUCUGGGCGUAAAGCGGUGCGCAGGCGGUGAUGAUCAAGACAGGUGUGGAAAUCCCCGGGCCUUAACCUGGAAGUGCAUUUGUGACUGCAUCGCUGGAGUGCGGCAGAGGGGGAAUGGAAUUCCGCGUGUAGCAGUGAAAUGCGUAGAUAUGCGGAGGAACACCGAUGGCGAAGGCAAUCCCCUGGGCC
rnacentral:rRNA from 1 species